CAGAUUUUAUUCUCCCACUUACUUACAAUAAGUGAUUUGCUGUUAAAUCAGCUGAGUCUUU
rnacentral:tRNA from 1 species